CCAACGAGAUUAACUUCCAUUGCUGCAAACACACAGCCAUGGUUGUUGUGUCAUCCACUUCGCCUUCUCUCAAAGCCAAAUUCAACCCCCAAAGCUUCACCGUCACAAGCCAUCUCUGCAACUCUACCUGCAAACCCACUUCACCUUCUCUGCUAUACCUCGGUCAAAUCUAUGGCGACACCACCAGACCCAACAGGUCCAAAGUGCCAAACUCAAAUGGGUUCUUCUCUGUUAAAGCUUACAUGGAUAAUCCAAACUCCAUCUCCAGCUUCGCCAGCAAGGUCAUUGGCUCUCUCCCUGUUGUUGGGUUAAUAGCAAGAAUUCUGAGCGAUGAAGGUGGCCUUGGUGGAGACAUUAUUGAUUUUGCAGAGUUUCGAAGGCGGGUGGGGAAGAAGUGUACAACUACUGAUUCUCGAGCUUUUUAUGAAUUUCAAGAUCGACGUGGCCGGGCAGGGGAUCCUCUAUAUGUUCUACUAUGCUGCUGGGUAGCAGCCAUUGGUGCUGGUCUUCUGAAAUCUGAGGAGAUUUUAGAAGGGGCGGCGAGGCUGCGGGUUUCGAAUGAUAUCGAAUUUGAAGAGCAGAAUUUCAUUUCCUUGAUCAACGAGGCAAAAGAGAGAAGGGCAAAACUAAAGGCUGCUACCCCAAUUAUCCCAUUGGAGAUUCGAAUCGAGAAGGCUCUUGAAGGGAUCUACCUCUGCUGCUUUGGGAAGGACCCUAUAGAAGAAGAAGACGAGAGACUUCUAAAUGUCAUGCUUAAGGCUGUUUAUCCAUCCGUUGAGCAGUCUGAGAUACAACGGAUUGUCAAGGACAAGGCACAGAAAGUAGGUGAAGGCAGUGAUGAAGGCAGUGUUCGAGAGCCAAAGCCCCUAUCAAAAGAAGCUGUUAACAUGCAAAUGAAGGACCUCCAAUUCCUUCAACAAAAUAGAGAGACUUGAUAUUAGAAGUUCUUGUGCCCUCACUUGUAAGAAAAUUUAUGACUGAGAAAUUCACAGGAGAACUGCACAACCUGGAAAACUGUACCGAGAACUUGUGCUAUGCAUGUAUCUAGCAGGCUUGAUUGGUACUUUGGUGGUAACAGAUUAUGCUAAUGAGAUAGAACAAAGAGUUCUCUUUUUUAUCAUUU